AUGCCGUCGAAGCCCUCCGGCGACGCCCGCCGCCGCAGCAGCGCGGCGUGCAUAUGCUGCAUCGGCCCCCACCACCGAGCUUCCGGGGGCAGCGCUCUCGCCCCCGUCGACACGGAUAACAGCAGCGUGCGCACGCCGCUCACCAGCUGCUGCGGCACCGGGGACGCCGUCCGCACGCCGCGCACCCCCAAGACGCCCUCCGCCAGGCGCCUCUGCGGCGUCCGCUCCCGCACCCCUCGCCGGGCGCAGCAGGUCCGCCGAUUCCCUGCGGCUCCAGCGCCGGCGCCCGCGGCACCCGCUGCUCCAGCGCGAGAGGUGGCGCCGGCUGCUCCCGCGAGGACUCCCGUGGCAUCGGCUGGAGCGGCGCUGGCUGUUCCUCCGGUGAAGACUCCCGUGUCAGCUGCUGCGUCGGCUGCAGUGCCGCAAGUUGCUCCUCCUCCUGUGAGGACUCCCGUGGCAGCUGCUGCGUCGACUGGAGCGCCGCUGGUUGCUCCUCCUCCUCCUCCUGCGAGGACUCCCGUGGUAGCUGCUGCGUCGGCUGGAGCGGCGCUGGCUCCUCCUCCCGCGCGGACGCCGCGGACCCCUUCGACGCCGAUCGGGCGGACACAGCGCGUGUGCUGCGUGACCACCGCCGCGCCCGCGCAGGCCGGCAACGCAAAGUCCAAGUCAGGCACCGCGCGGCGCAGCUGGCUCAGCUCCGCCAGCAAGGCGGUGGCGCAGACGCGCCGCGCGGACUCCGGCGCCGUCCGCGAGAGCAGCACCAACCCGCGCGCCAACGGCGACGUCGCCAAGGCGAUCCACAGGGCGGCGCCGCUCGCGCAGGCCGUGGAGCCGGCGCCGGCGAAGGAGGACGAGUCGGUCUGCUCUAACGAGGAGUACGCGCUGCUGUGCCGGGAGGGCUUCUCUCGGGAGGACGUCGCCGCGGUGACCAUCCAGGCCUACUUCCGCGCCCACCUGGCGCGGCGGGCGUUCAAGGCGCUGAGGAGCCUGGUGAGGCUGCAGGCGGUGGCGCGGGGCGCGUACGUGCGGCGGCAGGCGGAGGUGGCGGUGCACUGCAUGCAGGCCAUGGCGCGGCUGCAGGCGCGCGUGCGCUCCAGGCAGACGCUCGCCAAGCCCAAGGACAACGACGACAAGCUCCUGCUGCUGCAGAACUGA
rnacentral:rRNA from 1 species